rnacentral:lncRNA from 1 species
GGAACAGAACAACCAUAUGACGACUAAAACAAUUUUUUAGAACAAUGAUCUGGUUUUAUUUCAUAAAAAAAAUACACUAGAUCGACACAAUUAAGACGAUGAACAUAAAUAACGAAGAUCCUUGACAAAACCAAAAGGUCCAUCAUGGUCCUUCAAAGUCAACGACACUACAUUAAUCCUUCCUAUCUGACACUCAUCCAGCUAUUCGAUGACGAAAUUGAAGUACACCAUCCUUGCAGAAGGUGGACUAACUUCAUAGGUAUUGAGAAGCCGCAUGAGUUGCCCAGCUCAAAUAGUGGGAACGUAAGAUCAUUGAACACAGCAUAGCCGGGACACAUCUCUUGCAAGGCAAGUUGUGAAACGGAGUAAAGAUUACCAAAAACACCGAAAGGUGAGCCACGAGAAUCAUUGACUCCAUGGAGUAGGCCAAGACGUCGACUACACCAGAACGAUGACGGAAUCAUGACAACAAUCUUCUAGACGAUGUCAUUUUCAUUGUCAAGAUGUCACCACGAAGAAUACAGAGACCUAACAAAAAUAAAAAAAUAGAUCCAAACGUUGAUCCAUUGUCCCUUCGCCUCUCAACGCCGGGUCAGCUGUCAGAGACGAGCAAAAUCAGCGGAGAUCAAAGCUUUCCUCAAAGACAUCGGCAAGGG